rnacentral:rRNA from 1 species
UACGAAGGGGGCUAGCGUUGUUCGGAAUUACUGGGCGUAAAGCGCACGUAGGCGGGUCGUUAAGGCAGGGGUGAAAUCCCAGAGCUCAACUCUGGAACUGCCUUUGAUACUGGCGACCUAGAGUUCGGAAGAGGUUAGUGGAAUUCCCAGUGUAGAGGUGAAAUUCGUAGAUAUUGGGAAGAACACCAGUGGCGAAGGCGGCUAACUGGUCCGAUACUGACGCUGAGGUGCGAAAGCGUGGGGAGCAAACAGG